rnacentral:rRNA from 1 species
AUACGGAGGCGGCUAGCGUUGUUCGGAAUUACUGGGCGUAAAGCGCGCGUAGGCGGGCUGGUAAGUUGGGGGUGAAAUCCCAGGGCUCAACCCUGGAACUGCCCUCAAUACUGCCAGUCUUGAGUUCGAGAGAGGUAAGUGGAAUUCCUAGUGUAGAGGUGAAAUUCGUAGAUAUUAGGAAGAACACCAGUGGCGAAGGCGGCUUACUGGCUCGGUACUGACGCUGAGGUGCGAAAGCGUGGGGAGCAAACAGGAUUAGAAACCCCAGUAGUCC